CCUACGGGAGGCUGCAGUGAGGAAUAUUGGUCAAUGGGCUUACGCCUGAACCAGCCAAGUCGCGUGAGGGAAGACUGCCCUAUGGGUUGUAAACCUCUUUUGUCAGGGAGCAACGCCGGCUACGUGUAGCCGGACUGAGAGUACCUGAAGAAAAAGCAUCGGCUAACUCCUUGCCAGCAGCCGCGGUAAUACGGAGGAUGCGAGCGUUAUCCGGAUUUAUUGGGUUUAAAGGGUGCGUAGGCGGAAUGCCAAGUCAGCGGUAAAAUCGCGGGGCUCAACCUCGCUCCGCCGUUGACACUGGCGGUCUUGAGUGGGCGAGAAGUAUGCGGAAUGCGUGGUGUAGCGGUGAAAUGCAUAGAUAUCACGCAGAACUCCGAUUGCGAAGGCAGCAUACCGGCGCCCAACUGACGCUGAAGCACGAAAGCGUGGGUAUCGAACAGGAUUAGAUACCCCAGUAGUC
rnacentral:rRNA from 1 species